UGGAAUGUCAUCCUUGCUGUAUGUGGCCGAACAUUAUCUUUAUGGAAGAACAUCUUUUGUUUUGAAACCAAAGGGGUUGUUUUUCUUCCAGUGCU